CCUACGGGAGGCAGCAGUGAGGAAUAUUGGUCAAUGGGCGAGAGCCUGAACCAGCCAAGCCGCGUGAGGGAGUACUGCCCUAUGGGUUGUAAACCUCUUUUGUCGGGGAGCAAAAGCCGGACGUGUCCGGCUGUGAGAGUACCCGAAGAAAAAGCAUCGGCUAACGCCGUGCCAGCAGCCGCGGUAAUACGGAGGAUGCGAGCGUUUUCCGGAUUUAUUGGGGUUAAAGGGUGCGCAGGCGGAUUUUUAAGUCAGCGGUCAAAUCGUGGGGCUCAACCCCAUCCAGCCGUUGAAACUGGGGAUCUAGAGUGUGCGAGAGGUAUGCGGAAUGCGUGGUGUAGCGGUGAAAUGCAUAGAUAUCACGCAGAACCCCGAUUGCGAAGGCAGCAUACCGGUGCACAACUGACGCUCAGGCACGAAAGCGUGGGUAUCGAACAGGAUUAGAUACCCCAGUAGUC
rnacentral:rRNA from 1 species